CAGUCCAAACGGUUGUGUCUUCUUCGUUGAUUUCAUGGUCAUGAUCCAAAUUUAGGUAUGGACGCCAAAUGAACUGAAAUAUGAACAUAUGUUAGAUUAUAAAUUUGGUAGAAGAAAUUAACAAAUUAUUACGAAAUAAUUAGGUUAUUAUCCAUACAUCUGUCGGUCGGAGGUGAUCCAAGAGAUUGCGAUACUGGGUAAUACAAUGUCUAGGAUAUCUGUUAUAAUUCAUACCACGUGUCGACCAUCUGCACCGUAAAGGUAAAAG
rnacentral:lncRNA from 1 species